AGUACCAAAGAGUAGUCUUCAGUACAGCCUCAUUCAGGUCAGGGCCAGUCCCUAAGCUCUGCCUGCUUGCUUCCUAACUAGCUAGUUGUCCUAACCAGCCACAGCCUGCCAGACACUCUCUUCUCCAUUGUCCUUGCCUUCCCCCAUGAGUUCUAGCCAGUCCACAAGACAGAUCCAUCAACUCAGGCAAAAAGCGUAUAGGUUAAACUGAGACCACAGGGGCAGUGCCGGCCUCCCACCCCAGACUGGCUUUCUGUAUCAGAAGCUGCCUUCAAUCAUUACCAUUUCCUUCCUUGAACAGGAUGGGCAAAGUGACAUCAGGCCUCGUGGGAAAGGAAUAUUCAUGGUGCCCUUCACCCAGUCUGUUAUACCACAGAGCCAGGGUGCUGACACUGUGUGCUUCCUCCUUGUGGAGAUGUGAACCCGCUCAGCUUUAGGAUCUCAACGCCAUUCUCCCCCUCCCCCCCAGUUUGUUUGUUUUUUCUUUCUUCCCACUCUCAAAACUGAUGUAAUUUAAAAAACAGGUGCUUAAUCGCAGCUACAUUGUAACAGAAUACAUUAAAAAGACAUAUUAGAAAUCUCCGUGCAGGCCAUCCACAUAAACCAUUGUUUCCUUUGAGCUUGGGGGACAAAAAAAAAAAUGCACCAGAGAACAAAUUAACAAUCGGCAAAUUGAUUUCUCUUUGAGAAACUUCUAGGAACCCAAUGAGCCACUUACUUUGUCUAAUUAUCUUAUGACAAGUGUCACAUUAAGAUGACACUUAGAAGUCCUUAACAUUAUCUUAAUGGUGAAGAAGAGGGCUCAGUAGGCAAUUCCCAGGAAGGUAAUAAGAUGUCAUUUUCAGAGACGUUCCAAGAAGAUGUUUUGAUUCAUUAAAAUAUUAAAUCAAAAGCCCUCCUACGUCCGGAGCCCACAUCAGCAAGGCAGCCGGUGCCGCUUCUCAUGCCCCGCUCUGGGUUUUAAAUAUGACUAUUUACAGUGGUACUUAAGUUAGACCUUUGUUACGUCCUCCUGAGAAACAGUACUUCCGCUGGCCUCUUUUUGGAAGGAGCCUUUCAUUCUAAUAAUCAGGUGAGCAUAUGAGACUUUUUAAGCAUAUGAGGCUGUGAUGACAAACCGCUUGUUUAGGUAGGUCAUUUGUUGAGUCCUUAGUUUUAGAAAACCUUCAGUUGGUCCUGUUACUCUAAUCCUACAAACGGUUACUUACUACCAUUGCUGUGACAUCCAAUUCAAACCCAGAAUUCUCUUCCACCAGGGUUCAUUGUCUGCCACAUUAAUGUCUCUACAGAUCUUGUCAGCAUGAGGAUGGCUUCAUGGCUUUCUCUCGGUCCCUCCUUUAUGCCCACGUCCCUAAGUACACAGGAAAUGAUUUGUCUGUCCAGGUCUGUCCUCUGAUUGUCCCACAAUGCCAUUGACAUUGGCUUUGGUUUGGUUUUAUCUUGACCACACUGUACAGUAACAUCCAAGAGCCCUCUCUACAGUGGGUAGUUUGGUCUUUUUACACCUUUUCUCAGUCACUGAUGUUUGUCCCUGUUUAAUGUGUAGCCUUGUAAAAAAAAAAAAAAAAAAAAAAAGGCCAUCAAAUUCAGAGUGUCAGUCUGUUGUCCCUAUCGUAGGUGAAAUAGUGACGUAGAAAAAUCUAGUAUUCUGAAUGCUUUUCCAUGUAGACUUUUCUGGAAUGUGAACACGGCUCUUUGGUUAAUAGCAAGCGCUUCCCUGUAGUCCUGAGUAGGCGCAGUUCUGUCUGUCUCAAUAAAUUUUACUUUCUCCGCA
rnacentral:lncRNA from 1 species